GAUGAACGCUGGCGGCGUGCCUAAUACAUGCAAGUCGAGCGAACAGACGAGGAGCUUUCUCCUCUGACGUUAGCGGCGGACGGGUGAGUAACACGUGGAUCACCUACCUCUAAUACUGGGAUAACUUCGGGAAACCGGAGCUACUACCACAUCAUAUAUUGAACCGCAUGGUUCAAUAGUGAAAGACGCUUUUGCUGUCACUUAUAGAUGGUUCCGCGCCGCAUUAUCUAGUUGGUAAGGUAACGGCUUACCAAGGCGACGAUGCGUAUCCGACCUGAGAGGGAGAACGGCCACACCGGAAACUAGAAAAGGGCCCAAACCCUAAGGGGAGGAGCAGUAGGGAAUUAUCGGAAAGUGGGGAAAGGCCUACGCCAGACAUCCCGGGUAGGGAUGAAGGUCUUUGGAGUGGAAAACCCUUUUAGUAGGGAAAAAAAAAUGUGUAGUUAAUAACGCGCUGCUCGAAGGGACCCAAAAAAAUAGCCACGGCUAAAUUUGGU
rnacentral:rRNA from 1 species